GCUGGAAUAGCUAAGUCAGUAGAGCACGAGACUCCUAACCUCAGGGUCGUGGGUUCGAACCCCACGUUGUGCA